rnacentral:tRNA from 1 species
UCAUCAGCAGUACAGUAGGUCAGUAUGCUCGCCUGUCACACGAGAGACCGGGGUUCGAUCCCCCGCCGGGGAG